AGAAGUACAUAGGGUACUGAGAACUUCAUAGACAGAAUGAAAAGGAAAAAUAGAAGAAGGUCCAAGAAGGACAGAAUCUUAGAACUGCACUGCCUGCUCAUACGAUCAAUGCUGCCUCUUGGCACAGACAGAAACCUCCGGGGAUUCAGCUGAAAAGCACGCUGCCUUUUGAACACCUGGAAGUGGACUUCACUGAAAUGAAACCUCACCGACACUACCGUUACCUGCUGGUCAUGUUCAAGUUGCAGCUGUCACUCCCUGGAUCCACCACAUGAGGAUGAAGAGAACGUACCAUGCAGACCCAGAAAAUGCUGGGUGGACUGAGCAGAGGGACCCCACUGACCCUCAAGAGACUAAGAUCAUCCUUAAGAAGAAGGAAAAGAAGAUCCUGGACGAGCCCCUUCAGGAUGAAGCCACAUAAUCAACUCCUGCUGUUUGGCCUCAUCAACGUGAUUUUGAAUUUAACUUCCAUUUCCAUUGAGGACAAUGUUUUCAUCUCAUGGGCACAUUCCUACGCGGACUUCCACAACACCUCCAACUACUGGGUACAUGGGGCUAUGCCUCUUUCUGUGACAGACGGACUUCCUUGGUGGGUGUCACCGCUCCACCAAUGAGAUUUUAAACCACUCUGCUCUUUUCUGGAAUGACAAAAAGAGACUUUCCUUUCUCUUGUCAAUCAUAAUCUCUCCUUGCUUUCUUGGUGUAAGCCAGACCUACAGUCAGUAGACUUGGAUCAUUGGGUGACAUUUGAUGUAAACACCAGUUUCACAGAAGUAACAAAAGCCUAUAACUCAUAUUUAAAGAACAAAAAGGAAAAAAUCUCCCUGACCAGCAAGGGAGGACAGGCCUCUAGGUAUGCUGAACAAUUUUACCAAGUCUGGGAUGAACAGUUCUGGAUGACCCCAGAAGAGGGUCAAUUAAUUACUCCCACCGC
ensembl:lncRNA